ensembl:snoRNA
AUCCUUUUGUAGUUCAUCAAGAUGGUUGGGUUUUCACGUGCAUGCGUGAGAUGUGCCUCCCACAAGUCUUGUUAUGAGGUCAGCACAUUACCCAUCUGACA